GAUGAACGCUGGCGGCGUGCCUAAUACAUGCAAGUCGAGCGAACGGACGAGAAGCUUGCUUCUCUGAUGUUAGCGGCGGACGGGUGAGUAACACGUGGAUAACCUACCUAUAAGACUGGGAUAACUUCGGGAAACCGUAGCUAAUACCGGAUAAUAUUUUGAACCGCAUGGUUCAAAAGUGAAAGACGGUCUUGCUGUCACUUAUAGAUGGAUCCGCUCUGCAUUAGCUAGUUGGUAAGGUAACGGCUUACCAAGGCAACGAUGCAUAGCCGACCUGAGAGGGGGAUCGGCCACACUGGAACUGAGACAAGGUCCAGACUCCUACGGGAGGCAGCAGUAGGGAAUCUUCCGCAAUGGGCGAAAGCCUGACGGAGAAACGCCGCGUGAGUGAUGAAGGUCUUCGGAUCGUAAAACUCUGUUAUUAGGGAAGAACAUAUGUGUAAGUAACUGUGCACAUCUUGACGGUACCUAAUCAGAAAGCCACGGCUAACUACGUG
rnacentral:rRNA from 1 species